rfam:Perkinsus marinus ATCC 50983 gcontig_1104296649672, whole genome shotgun sequence.
GGUUCUAUGGUGUAGUUGGUUAGCACUCAGGACUUUGAAUCGUGCGACUCGGGUUCGAAUCCCGAUAGAACCU